AGUGAACGCUGGUGGCGUGCCUAAUACAUGCAAGUCGAAGGAAGUGGCGCACGGGUGAGUAAUAUAUAGCUAAUCUGCCCCUUGCUGGCGGACAAAAGUUAGAAAUGCCUGCUAAUACUCCCUAGCAAGGGCUGAGACGAUAUCGUAUCAGCUAGUCGGUGGGGUAACGGCCUACCGAGGCUAUGACGCGUCACUGGUCUGAGAGGAUGAGCACUCACCUUGGAAGGGAGACACGAGCCAGAAUCCUACGGCAGGCAGCAGUAGGGUGUAUUGCGCAAGCGGGGAGACCCUGACGGGGCAUCGGAUCGUAAAGCAUGGCACUUUUCGGAGCGUAAACACCUUAUGUUAGGGAAGCGGUACCUAACGAAUAAGCACCGGCUAACUCCGUGCCAGCAGCCGCGGUAAUUC
rnacentral:rRNA from 1 species